CACAAACACUGGUGGGACCUGCUUCUUCAGGUUCGCAAUUGGAGAGGGGACCAAGAAAAAACAACCUUGGUGCAGGUGUGGUACCUCUCGGCAGAUUUUCAGUUCUUUCUGGUCGGCAUCAUUGUUAUCCAGGUGUUUAGGACAAAGAAAUGGCUAGCUGCUACGACAUUUGCACUGUUGUCACUAGUUUCGUGCUCAAUCUCUGCCUGGCAGAUAUACGGCACAAACUUGAAGCCCUUUGUUC